UACAGAGGUCUCAAGCGUUGUUCGGAUUCAUUGGCGUAAAGGGUGCGUAGGCGGCGCGGUAAGUCGGGUGUGAAAUCUCGGGGCUUAACUCCGAAACUGCAUUCGAUACUGCCGUGCUUGAGGACUGGAGAGGAGACUGGAAUUUACGGUGUAGCGGUGAAAUGCGUAGAUAUCCGAAGGAACAUCAGUGGCGAAAGCGGCUUCCUGGACCAGAACUGACGAUCAGGCACGAAAGCGUGGGGAGCAAACAGG
rnacentral:rRNA from 1 species